AGAAUCAACGCUGGCGGCGUGCCUAACACAUGCAAGUCGAACGAGAAAGUGGGGCAAUCCAUGAGUAAAGUGGCGCACGGGUGAGUAACACGUGACUAACCUACCCUUGAGUGGGGGAUAACCUAGGGAAACCUGGGCUAAUACCGCAUAAUACCUUCGGGUCAAAGGAGCAAUUCGCUUAAGGAGGGGGUCGCGGCCGAUUAGUUAGUUGGCGGGGUAAUGGCCCACCAAGACUGUGAUCGGUAUCCGGCCUGAGAGGGCGCACGGACACACUGGAACUGAAACACGGUCCAGACUCCUACGGGAGGCAGCAGUGGGGAAUUUUGCGCAAUGGGGGAAACCCUGACGCAGCAACGCCGCGUGGAGGAUGAAGUCCCUUGGGACGUAAACUCCUUUCGAUCGGGACGAUUAUGACGGUACCGGAAGAAGAAGCCCCGGCUAACUUCGUGCCAGCAGCCGC
rnacentral:rRNA from 1 species